UGGUAUCAUGUUGCAAAUGGC
rnacentral:miRNA from 1 species